AUGAGCAGAGCACACUCAGCAUCGUACUCACCGUGGUGCUGGCUGCCGCAGGACCAGGGGUGCCACGACACUCUGCACCAACAACUGGACUUUGCUCCUCGGGAUUACGGGUGACAAGGAUUCGGAAGUGCUGCUGCCUCGUGUUUUGAUCUGGUCUGAUUUUAAACAGGCAUCCCUUCCCCUGAGGAAUCUUCUCUACUGAAUUGCUUCUGGAUAUUUCUGACCCGCUCCUGCCGCUUCCAUGCAGUUCUGAAGUCCGCCCAUCACCUGCAGGGCGGAUUUCCUCCGGCCGUGGUUGGACGGGGUAGGAAGCGCUCCUCUCCAGCUGAAUGCGUGGGUACCUGACCAGUCUGUCCCCUUUUGUCCCAGUAAAGCCGAAGUUAUACUCACCACCUGUACCACUCGCCUGCGGCUGCUGUAACUGGAGAACAAAGAACUUUUUCCCCGAAUUUGCUGACAUGUCUGGCACGUGCUGCAGAGACCAGCGCCGGGGCUCAGGGGUGGGAGCAUUAUUUUGAGCCUCGGAACCAAAGGGCAGCAGAGUAACCUGAGGCACAUCGGCGCUCGAAGCACGAUGCUGAAUCCUCACGCCGCUGAUGUUCAGACCUGAAGCUGUUUCCUUUGCCUCGUUCUCAUGGGCGGUGGACAGAGCAUCGUCGCUCUGGUUAUUAGGAGGAAUAGUACGGAAUAUCCUACGGUUACAGCGAAGAGUUCCAUUCAUCUGCUGCCCCAACUCCUCCGUCUGCCUGGGUGGAGAAUCCUCAGGAGUCGCCUCUGGGCUGCUCUGAGAGGAGGAAUGGUUUUCAAUGGGGGACGCAUAAUGCUCCCUAACAUCUGAGGCUUUGCACAGGGGAGUCUCCUCGGGGGUCUCCGGGGUCGCGCACUCAUCUGCAGCCUUGCGCUGGAGAGAGAUCUGCAUCGAGGAGCUUCUUGUGGGACGUGCGCUGAUGCUGUUCAGCAGCUGGGGAAUAAACAUGGAGGUGCUCCUUUUCAAGGAGCCCACUUCUUGGAAAUCGCUGCCUCCGCCGUAAUCUGCUCCGUGUCGGGAGAAAGCGUGAGGGCUGCUUCUUCUCGGCAAAGUGUGGAAUGCCAUGAAAAAGUCAUCUUCUCUCUCCCGGUCGAGGAUCUCGGAUUCGGGGGCUGUGUUGCUUCGUCCAGAGCCAAAAUGAAACCGCAGCCGAUGGGCCAUGGUUUUACAGAGAGAAGAAAAGGAGAGGGAGAACGGCAACAAUUCAGGCGCUGCCAGAAGUUAAAAACCAAAGACAUAAACUCCAAGAAAAAGUGUCCCAUCUGCCAAACUGUUAGCACUGCAGCACUGAUAGCGACAGAUAGCAGAAAUAGCCCAAGUGGCAAGCAGCAUUCCAGGCAUGAUUGGGUAAGAGCAAUCAGCGCUCCUACACACUGUGACAUGGGGUAGGAUGGUGGCAGUCACGUGGCCCGGUUCCCCCUCUCCAAUCUAAGCCAGUGGGGGUUCUGUUGUUUUUUUUUAAUGCCAGCGAGAGCCUGAAACAGCACCUUCCCAGCUGCUCCUUUUCCAUCAGAGCGCAGCUGACCGAGGCAGCGAGCACACUCGGCGCCGCUAUAAAUCUAAAUCACAUCGUACCGCACGGCGCAUUCGCACAAGGAGCAGGAAAGUUAAUGACAACACAAACGCCGCGGUUUGGUUUUAGGGCUGUAAGUCAACGCCACGUGCAAAUAAGGAACAAUAUUUCAAGCUUAACUUUUUGGUGUGUGUUACAGCACGAGGCUAUCAUGGCAGAACGUGAGUAAAUAUAGCACCGUUACGCUUUCAAUUUUAACUGCGCUUGUGGCACGGUUAAGUAACAAGCUCCUUGCCUUUAAAAAGCCACAACUUUCACACUGCCCCUAUGAGUGCAACGCAGCCUAAGCGAGCCCGCGCAGCCCCUUUUAAUCAGUAAAAAUUACAGCAAACGGAGCAACCCUAUGCACGGCAAAGAUUUCUCACUCAAUAAAAACAGCAGAAACGCGCAAAAUGACAGGAGGCAAAGUUCCUUUUUCAGUUUUACUGGGCAGUAAAGACGAGUGAAAACCAGGGACGGGUGUCGCAUUGCCGUUUGGUACCGAUUUGUCUUAAACAGCACACAGAAACUCUGCCCAUUACUGGCCGGCCUCCAGUGGGAAAGUUAGCAGUACUACCACGGGCGUGAUCGCAGGCACGGAAUACAGUUACACUGUGAGAGCCAAGAGACCUCAGAAGCAGAACAGACGGACAGGAUACAUCCAACUGCAGAACAAACACCCUAAAUAUGCUCCACUGCAAUGCAGGAAAUUGGUGACUGGGGGAUCCUGACAGCCAAAGGGCACCCACCAUCGCAAUGGCUUGCACGUGCCGGGGAUGCACGGUUAGCUAAAAGCACAUCUACAAGAAGAGACAGCACAGGAUCAGCUCAAUGCACAGACAUCUGUUCCUUAGGAGAACUCUGAGAAGUGCUGUCAACAAACUAUCGGUGGCAGGUAAACCGUUAUCCACAGUCUCUUUCUGCUCUGAAGAAGAAGACGCAUCAUACAUCCCCUGCUCCGAUGGGGGAGAGAAAGGAUAUACUGCAGAGAGGAAGUGCUCAGAUAAUUUUGGAAUGUGAAGAAAAUAAAGUUUUUUGGGGGGGUAAAAGACAUGAAAGCGUUGACAACAAGUAUUUCACAUGAAAUCUGAAAUUAUUUGCUUGGUGCCUUGCUCUGUAAAUACAACACGAUGGAAAUUUGCCACUAUAAA